UUUUAUCAGAGAGUUUGAUCCUGGCUCAGGAUGAACGCUGGCGGCGUGCUUAACACAUGCAAGUCGAGCGAAGCGGCUGAAUUGAUUCUUCGGAUGAUUUUCAGUUGACUGAGCGGCGGACGGGUGAGUAACGCGUGGGUGACCUGCCCCAUACCGGGGGAUA
rnacentral:rRNA from 1 species